GCGGUCGUGGCGGAAUUGGUAGACGCGCAGCGUUGAGGUCGCUGUGGGUGGGUAAAACCCGUGGAAGUUCGAGUUCUGACCCACCAUU
rnacentral:tRNA from 1 species